CCUGGUUUGCGCAUGCGUAGCAAGAGCUUUUAAAUUAUACCGGAAAUGUGCGCUGUAGUUUUUCAAACAACACAACUUUUUACGUUUAAACUGCGCGUUGAAGCAGUUUUAUGUGAUAUAUAGCCAUUAUAUGGUCACUAGUGCGCUAGCAUUUUUCUCGAUAAACUUUUUUUGGCAGCAAGUUAACCUGCUAGCGUGUGUUUAGUGCUGCGGUCCAGCGUUUUCAUCUCUGUGGACACAAUGCACAGUGGAUGGGUCGUCCGGAAAAGACAAAUGUUUGAAAAACCGAAGGAUAAGAAUUAAUCUAUAAAGAUGAUUUUCUGAUAUAGCACGUAAUUUGGUUUGUUCAAGUGUACAGUCUGCUUUUCGUUCUGGUUAAAUGUCAGUUCUUCUGAGUUGACUGUACUGAUACCACAACAUUGUUGUGUAGAGUAAUCCUCUGCUGGUUUUGACUUGCAGUUGUGUUACAAACAGCAUUUGUGUGACAACGAGUGGAAAUGUGAUUGGAAUUACUGGUAGGACUGAGACGAAGAAGGACAAGACCAUCUCAUCAGAGAGGAAUGACUCGGAGAAGAAGGACGAAGCCGUCCAAUCAGAAGAGGACAACGGUUGCGUGCACAACUCACUUAUAUUCAAAAACGUUGAGAUUCUCCUGUUUGUCAGAGAUCAGCUGUUCUUCUCUGGUCUCAGCUCUGAAGUCCAACCCCUCCCACCUGAGGAAACUGACGUUGGGGGCAACGGGCUGCAGGAUUCCGGGAUCAAGGAUCUGUGUGGUUUUCUCCAGAGUCCAGACUGUAAACUGGACACUCUGGUCUAGUCUUGUGGAGGAUCUGAGAUGGAAAUAAUAAAGAUUUAACAAUAAAUGACUUUAAACA